GUCGCAGCUCGCGUCGUACGACCAGUUCAAAGAGACGAUUCUCGAGAAGGGCUUGAUGCGCGAUGGGCUCGGGACCCACGUCACGGCGAGCUUCGCGGCGGGAUUCGUGGCGGCUGUGGCGUCGAACCCCGUGGACGUGAUCAAGACGAGGGUGAUGAACAUGAAGGUGGAGCCCGGGGCGCCGCCACCGUACGCCGGCGCGUUGGAUUGUGCUCUGAAGACGGUGCGAGCGGAGGGGCCCAUGGCCCUCUACAAGGGUUUCAUUCCUACGAUCUCGAGGCAGGGACCCUUCACCGUUGUGCUGUUCGUGACGCUGGAACAGGUUCGCAAG
rnacentral:lncRNA from 1 species